AGCACCCACAUAACUUGGGGCUAAAACAGUAACUAGGUGAACACCUGAUUUCUGCCAAUUCAUCCCGUAAUGAUGGUAAACAGGAGGCAACUGGGCAAAAUAAAGCCGGCGAGGAACUGGGGCUGCUGGAGGCCUGGGGACAGGAGGUAGGGGCAGGCUCGGAGGCAGCGGAUUCCUUGCCUCUUCUCCAACAGGGACGCCUCUGAGGCCAGGCCUGGGCCUGCUGCUGAGCCGGACCCGGCGUGCCCCCCUGCGGGGGCAGUGGAGAAAGCCUUCCCCAGAGAGAAUGCUCAAAGGUGUUUGUGCUCACACACACACACACACAUAGAGACCCAUGUCAGUCGACCAUCUGUGUCCAGCCAGCAGGGCAUCCACUCUCCACCCAGAAAGGAGUCACCUAGGUUUGGGUAUGAACCAAAGCCCAACUCACCCAGACCUGUGGUCAAAGACACAGACUAUGUCACCACCUUGCAAGUAACUGAAUAUUCCUCUCCAGAGCUUCAAAACAUGACAAUUGAUAGUUCUUAUAGUGAACUGCAAUGUGGAAUCCGAAGCCAUAAUCGAGUCACAGUUUUAUUAUGCCAGGAUAUGAGAUACCCCCAGAAAGCCUUUCCCACCUGAAACGUGAAGUCAACAUCUAUCAACAUCUAUCGAAGUGAGUGGAUGACCUGAAACCGUAACCGACUCUGCAACCGUAGCUGACAUUGGCCAUAACCUUGUACAGUGGCUGCGUCUCCACUUGGGCAUUUACAAGAUGGCAAACAAUGCCUGGGCAGUCUGUACCUCUCCUGCCCUGCGUUGAAUUCUGAGCCUCCCCUGAGCGUGAAGUAGGAGCAGCAGGAAGUGCCUGGCAUCCAGAACCUUACAAACAAGUAGAAUCCAUGGACCUGUCUUCUCAUACAAAUCAACAUUUUGGUGCCUGCAAAGGGAGCUGAAAACCACAGUAGCCCUCAGAAAAGGAUUCCAAUGCCUAGUGGACCCAGGAAGAGUUGGGCAGAAUUCUCGGAGUUAACCUAACCCCAGAUUACUACUGGCUUCUCCCUCCUUCAACCUGGCGAGUAAAGACUGCUCAGAAUGGUUUGUGAUUUUUGCCAGUGUUGCCCCAAGACCAGCAGCAGAUAACAUCAGCAUUAGUGACAGUGCGAAAGAACUUAUCCAAGAAUUAUCAUUUUCUGAAGCCUGGAAUGACUUGGUGGAUUUGAUAUUAUUUCUUCACCAGCUGCAUGAUGCCUGAUGUGGAAAUGUUGCUCAGAAGGAGAUUUCAGAAAAUCGCCAUCGUGCUAUGGAUGACACUAAUGUUGAAUCCUUAAUAUAUGAGAACUACUCUGUUUUCAGCAGAACUAAAUGCCAUUAACAGAUCAGUAAAAUUUAAGAGCUGAAUGUUUAGGACUGAAAGAAGCCAUUGUGCUCUGUGCUUUGAGUACAUUUUUAUUUCAGUUAUGACACCCUAAAGAGUAGAAUUCACAUAUUCACUUUACAGAGAAAAUCGUGCCUUGGGUAAAUAACAGUUCCCAGGACUGUAAAGUGGGUACCUCCUGGGGCUAGGGUUUUACCUGGCUGGCCCAGCUCUCCCUUGUCCCCUGAUAGGACUGCCCACUGGUCAUCUAGACAACUUUCAAAGCAGUGGGCCACCAGCAACUCAACUGCUUGCCCCAAGUGAGCAGCUUGAAGACCACUCCCCGUGCUCCGUCUCCUGGUUCAGUUCUCCCGUCUUCCCAGAGCCCCCAGCGGGGUCACAGCUCUAGUUUAUUGUGAAGAUUGGUUAAGGCCGAUGGUGAUUUAAUCCUCACAGGACCAAAAAGCUGGUUUCUACAUAAUCCAAGCCCUGUGUCAUGGUUCAAAGGGUCUGAAUGAUGCUUGGGAUGGGCUAGAAAAGGUCUCGCUGUCCAUUAAUAAACAUCCAUCUUCAAACAGCAGAACUCCCCAAGAAGGCAGUGGAUACAAAAAGUGAGAUGCCCAAUGGGCACAGAGGGACAGUGGGUGCUGAGGCUUAGAGGUGGGAUUGGAGGCAGCCUUCGGGGCUCUAAUCUCAGCAGCCAGCCUAGAGGGAAAUAGACGGCAGGGCACCUCCUCCCUACCAUGCCUUCUGAACUCCUGACCAAAGGGCACCAGUUUCAUGAAAUCCUGCCCAAUGUGUCCUACAGUUGUAUGUUCAAGGACUCUGAAUUCCUUCCAGACUGCCAUUAGCAUGGUGAAUCCUGGGACUCAACUUG